rnacentral:rRNA from 1 species
UCCGAAGGGGGCUAGCGUUGCUCGGAAUUACUGGGCGUAAAGCGCACGUAGGCGGCUUUCUAAGUCGGGGGUGAAAUCCUGGAGCUCAACUCCAGAACUGCCUUCGAUACUGGAGAGCUCGAGUCCGGGAGAGGUGAGUGGAACUGCGAGUGUAGAGGUGAAAUGCGUAGAUAUCUGGAGGAACACCGGUGGCGAAGGCGGCAUUCUGGACCGAUAUUGACGCUGAGGAGCGAAAGCCAGGGGAGCAAACGGG